GACGAACGCUGGCGGCGUGCUUAACACAUGCAAGUCGAACGGAGAGGCCCUGCUUUUGUGGGGUGCUCGAGUGGCGACCGGGUGAGUAACACGUGAGUAACCUGCCCUUGACUUUGGGAUAACUUCAGGAAACUGGGGCUAAUACCGGAUAGGAGCUCCUGCUGCAUGGUGGGGGUUGGAAAGCUUCGGCGGUUGGGGAUGGACUCGCGGCUUAUCAGCUUGUUGGUGGGGUAGUGGCUUACCAAGGCUUUGACGGGUAGCCGGCCUGAGAGGGUGACCGGCCACAUUGGGACUGAGAUACGGCCCAGACUCCUACGGGAGGCAGCAGUGGGGAAUAUUGCACAAUGGGCGGAAGCCUGAUGCAGCAACGCCGCGUGCGGGAUGACGGCCUUCGGGUUGUAAACCGCUUUCGCCUGUGACGAAGCGUGAGUGACGGUAAUGGGUAAAGAAGCACCGGCUAACUACGUGCCAGCCGCCGCCGUAA
rnacentral:rRNA from 1 species